UCAGCUGUUGUUUGCAAGGCACAUUUUACUGAAAAAGACUACGUGCAGAAAACUAUUCAUGGGCGCAAACCCACCAUACAGAGACUUAAGUCUACUGCCAUUCCCAGCCUAUUUUUCUGGACCAAGCAAGAGACUGAAUCGGCCGCAAAAAGAAAAAUCAGGGCAGUGUCCUGUGAAAACAAAAGAACUAAACUUGAUGAAUAUUGUAGUAGAAAUCUAGAGGAAAGUUUUGAUUGUAAAGUUGGUUUUCCUGAAGAAGUCAUUCAUACUGCAGACAGGAUUUAUGACUGUCCACCACCAACUGCCGAGCUAAUGUUGAGCUUCACAGAUGGAAUUAAACAAACACCAUCAAUGCCUAUAUUUUCAGCAGAGAAUUUUGAAAUGAAGACACGUGACACAGCCAUGCAUUUUUAUACCGGUUAAGAGUUGUAUACUAAAUUUUUAUUUGUUUUGACCACACUUGGUCCAGCAGCACAUUGUUUGAGAUACAUUGUACAUAUAUUUUCAAAUUGAUAGGGUGUCAUUUGAAAAUCAGUUUUUUUAUGACUUUGAUGAAAUUGAGGCACUAUACAACCAACUUUGAACUGUCUAGAUUCUAGAUUGAAACUAGUGUUAAGAAUAUUGUAUAAACAUGGAUUGUUUUUAUGUCUAAACAGUGGCGUGAGGCUAACACUUAGCCAUUUAGUGGUUUAGUCAGGUAUUUUUCGCCAUCCAACUUCAAAUUAAAGUUUCCUACAACUUGGAUUAUUAUUGACAGCACAGAAUAUCCCGUGAUAAAACCUAAAGCUCCUAGAGCUCAGACAACCUUUUCAUCAUAUAAAAACAGAAACACUGAAAAUACUUGUAUGUUCGACACCUAGUGGUUUAGUCAACUAUGUCUCUAAUGCAUAUGUUGGUUGUACCAGUGACUGUGAAAUAGUUGAAAGAUGUAGAAUAGUUCAAUUAUGUGAUCCAGGUGACAGUGUGAUGGCAGACAAAGGUUUAAAUGUGCAAGAUUUGUUU